AUUGAACGCUGGCGGCAUGCUUUACACAUGCAAGUCGAACGGUAACAGGGAGCUUGCUCCGCUGACGAGUGGCGAACGGGUGAGUAAUAUAUCGGAACGUACCCAAGAGUGGGGGAUAACGUAGCGAAAGUUACGCUAAUACCGCAUACGAUCCAAGGAUGAAAGCAGGGAACCUUCGGGCCUUGUGCUCCUGGAGCGGCCGAUAUCUGAUUAGCUAGUUGGGGAGGUAAAGGCUCACCAAGGCGACGAUCAGUAGCUGGUCUGAGAGGACGACCAGCCACACUGGAACUGAGACACGGUCCAGACUCCUACGGGAGGCAGCAGUGGGGAAUUUUGGACAAUGGGCGCAAGCCUGAUCCAGCAAUGCCGCGUGAGUGAAGAAGGCCUUCGGGUUGUAAAGCUCUUUUGUCAGGGAAGAAACGGGAGUGGCUAAUAUCCACUCCUAAUGACGGUACCUGAAGAAUAAGCACCGGCUAACUACGUGCCAGCCGCCGCGGUAAAAC
rnacentral:rRNA from 1 species